CCCACCGGAGAGCUCGUGCCGACGGAUACCUGAAAUAUAAAAUCAUUUCCGUCCUGCGCGUGCCGCAGCUUCACCGGGGAAAACGCAAGGCGGGUGACGAAAUGCACGGACGCGCACGGAAUCCUGUUAGUUGACGCUGGAGUGCCAGGAAUUCUUUUCCCGACUUCUGGACGGUACUGAUAUUUGGGCAGAAAUCGCAUCCGUCGUCUGUACCCCUCUGCCUUUUUCACUGCACGACCCUUCUCUGGAUUCAAGUCCUGGGGCGACCGGUCACUGCGUGGAUGGGUAGGCUGGUCCGAGCCCCGCUCUUCAGCCGCGAGCACACAGCCUGCGUGAAAGUGUGUCCGACGCCCGCGCGUUAAAAUGCCUGUCACUCGUGUCACUGACUGACCACCGGAGCUGCUUGUGGAGGGAAAGAGGGAAACAUGCUCUCCACUCUACUUGUGUUGUUGCUGAUGUCUGUUGCUGCGGGCCACAGUGUGAAGUUGUUGUCCAAACGAGACUCCGUGGAGUUGUGCACAGAC